AGAAGCCCAAGACGUCAAAGUAAGUCUCGGUCCCCUCAACGCCCCAGGCCCUCUGAGUCACGUGCUCCUGCAGCCCGUCAAAGGAGGUCAAAAUCUAGGAGCCCUCAUAGCACAAAGUCAGAGUCAGCAUCUCCUCAACGACAUAAAAGAUCAAAGUCACGAACAUCCUCACAUAAUUCAAAGUCUGAAUCCCCAAUAUUAAGAAGAACUAAAAAGCAAAAAGGUAAACGGUCAAGAUCAGUUUCUCAGAGACGCACAUCAAGAUCAAGAUCCAUUUCCAGGGAGCGCCAGUCAACAGAUAGAAGUAUAUCCCCUACCAAAAGAGCACACUCUAAAUCUCCAACUAAAGAGGAAAAGUCCUCAAAGGAUAAGAGUUCAAAAGAAAUCUCAGAGACUAAACAGCAAGUUUUAGAUCCUGUGGAGGAAAAUUUAGAAAAAAAAGGGUCAAGUGGAUGGAAACCAGUGUCUACUGAAUGUACAUCUGUGCAAAAUCCAUCAGAUGAAGAGGUAAAAUCAUCAGAAUGUGAUACACAAAGUAAAAACAUUGAGCAAGAGCCCGAAAAUCCCUCUGAAUAUGAAGAAAGACCAAACCGAUCCAGAUCUUUGUCCUCAGAGCCAGUUCCUCAACAAGUUACUGUAGGGUCAGAUGAAGAUGAUCGCUCAGGGAGCUCACGAUCACCUUCACCGAGUAAAGUAAAAGAAUCAAAGUCCUCCAACAGAACAUCACCUGUUCAAAGAAAGCACUCCAGAUCGGCUUCGCCCACUCAGAAAAGGCGAUCCAAGUCGAAAUCUGUCAAUAGCAAGAGGAGGUCAAGAUCUCCUGUAAGAAAACGCAAGUCCAGGUCUCCCUCACAUAGUCGUAAAAAGAGGACAAAAUCUCGGUCUCCUGUUCGGAAAAGAAGAUCUAGAUCAUCCAAUCGAAGGGCAAAAUCACGAUCGAAAUCUCACACAAGAACAAAGCGCUCAAAAUCAAAAUCCCCCAAGCGGAAACGGUCAAAGUCUAGAUCGCCAGCUCGGAAAAGAAGGUCCAAAUCACGUUCCCCUGCUAGAAAGAGAAGAUCUCGUUCACGGUCAAGGGCUCGUCAGUCACGAUCCAGAAGGUCACGCUCUGUUUCACGUCGGAGAAGACCAGCAUUUCGUGGACGAUCUUUUGAUAGACGAGAUCGAUGGAAACGUGAACCAAGCCAUUCACCAAUUUUGAUUCUUCGUAAGAGGAGGUCCACCUCAAGAUCUCGACGCAGUUCUAGCAAGACGCCGCCACGUCUUACUGACCUAGAUAAAGAUCAACUUUUGGAGAUUGCGAAGGCUAAUGCUGCUGCAAUGUGCGCUAAAGCCGGAAUGCCCAUACCUGAAAGUCUCAAGCCUAAGGCAAUUCUGCAGUUACCUCUGCCAACCCCAGCUCCAGCCCCCUUGUCUUUGCCUCUGCCACUUCCUGUGCCCAAUUUACCUAUGAAUCUGCCCAUGGGUAUACCAGGUAUGCCUGCAAUGCCAAACAUGACAAUGAACGCUGCCAUGGCAAGUAUGACUGCGGCGACAAUGACUGCUGCUCUCUCCAACAUGGGUGCUCUGGCAUCUAUGCCCCCGAUGCCCCCACUUCCUACCAUUACCAACAAGCCCCCUUCAGCACCCACACCUAAUCUGGCUAGUAUUGAGGAGGUGAAGAGGAAAGUGGCUCAACAAGCUAACAGCAUAAGCAUCAAGGAGUUUACAGAGAAAUGUAAACAGAUUGCAGAGAGUAAGGAGGAGAUGAGUAUUGCACGGCCACAUGUUUCAGAUGAUGAUGAUGAUGAUGAUGAGACACGGGUGAGUAUUUAUGCUGAAAUUUAUGGCAGAAAUACACCUUUAUUUUAACCAUGUAUGUACAAGUUUUGAGACAAAAUGAAUGGUGAAACUGCUUUUGGCCAAAACUUUUAAUUGCAGUUUUAUUAUUUGGCCAUCCUAGAUUAAUCAUGCUCUGUCAUUGAACUAAUUUAAACAUUUUCUAUCAGUUGCCUGUAUUUACUUCUUGUUAAUGUUUUUAUUUUUAACUGUUUUGCAGUAACCCAUUGUCCUACUGCUGCAUCUCGUAUAUAGUCCUGAUGAUGGACACCUGUGGCUCGUAUUUGGGAUGAACUCUGCCAGAGGAUUGCAUCCAUCAUGUAAAUUAACCUUUUGUUUGCUCACAGGAAAAAGAGACUUGAGCAUCUGGACACUUGAAGCUACAUUGUUUUCAGUUAUCUUUAAAUUGUCAGUUGUUGGAAAAGCUGCAAGCUAUAGGAACCUUUUUUUUUACCUUAGACUACAAACUACCAGAUUGGACCAUUCAGUAUGUCUAAAAGUAGAACAAAGGGGGUGAAGUGUUGAACAGACAUACUACCUGCCCAGACUGACAGUGAAAUGUUUCGAUUUCAGGCUUGUUUUUACCUUCACUACAUAUGGUGCCUCUUGAUACCAUGAAGAAGGACCUCUGGUAGAUUUAAUUCAGAUUUAUAGGUGUACCUAAAAUAAUAAUAAUAAAAAAAAAACAACAACAGAUUUUGAGGUGUAG
ensembl:lncRNA